GAUGAACGCUGGCGGCGUGCCUAAUACAUGCAAGUCGAGCGAAGCGGGGACGGGUGAGUAACAAGUAGAUAACCUCCUAUAAGACUGGGAUAACUUAGGGAAACCGGUGCUAAACCGGAUAUUGAUAUAUGGCUCGUCGCUGCAUUAGCUAGUGGGUAAGGUAACGGCUUACUAAGGCAACGAUGCAAAGCCGACCUGUGAGGGGGAUCGGCCACCCUGGUACUGAGACACGGUCCAGACUCCUACGGGAGGCAGCAGUAGGGAAGCUUCCGCAAUGGGCGAAAGCCUGACGGAGCAACGCCGCGUGAGUGAUGAAGGUCUUCGGAUCGUAAAACUCUGUUAUUAGGGAAGCGGUACCUAAUCAGAAAGCCACGGCUAACUACGUGCCAGCAGCCGCGGUAAUAC
rnacentral:rRNA from 1 species